AAUAUUGGACAAUGGGGGCAACCCUGAUCCAGCCAUGCCGCGUGUGUGAAGAAGGUCUUCGGAUUGUAAAGCACUUUAAGUUGGGAGGAAGGGCUUUAGGUUAAUACCCUGAAGUUUUGACGUUACCAACAGAAUAAGCACCGGCUAACUCUGUGCCAGCAGCCGCGGUAAUACAGAGGGUGCAAGCGUUAAUCGGAAUUACUGGGCGUAAAGCGCGGGUAGGUGGUUCAGUAAAGUGGGUGUGAAAUCCCCGGGCUUAAACUGGGAACUGCUUUCAUAACUGCUUGGCUAGGGUAAGGUAGAGGGUAGUGGAAUUUCCGGUGUAGCGGUGAAAUGCGUAGAUAUAAGAAGGAACACCAGUGGCGAAGGCGACUACCUGGACUGAUACUGACACUGAGGUGCGAAAGCGUGGGGAGCAAAC
rnacentral:rRNA from 1 species